rnacentral:rRNA from 1 species
UUGAAAGGGAAACGAUUGAAGUCAGUCGUGCUGGCGCGAAAUCAACCUCCUCGUCGAGAGGACACAUGGCGUGGCGAGCCUCAAAACCGUCACGAAGCGUGAACUCUUGGCGAAAAGGAGCACUUUCGUGUCCGCUGGUUAACAUCAAUUUCGAACGUCAUAAAAAGGCUGGAGGGAUGUGGCUCCUUCGGGAGUGUUAUAACCUUUAGCGGAACGUGGUGGUCGGGAUUGAGGAUUGCAACGAAUACCUUUAGGGCUGUUCCACCUGGCUUCUCUUUGGUAUCCUGGUGAAGACAGCUUGCUGACUUUGUUAGGAUUCGCCUUUGAACAGGCUAGAGUGUGAGCAAAUUCGUUAAGGAUGUUGACGUA